AACGAACGCUGGCGGCAUGCCUAACACAUGCAAGUCGAACGAGACCUUCGGGUCUAGUGGCGCACGGGUGCGUAACGCGUGGGAACCUGCCCUUAGGUUCGGAAUAACUCCCCGAAAGGGGUGCUAAUACCGGAUAAUGUCUUCGGACCAAAGAUUUAUCGCCUUUGGAUGGGCCCGCGUUGGAUUAGCUAGUUGGUAGGGUAAAAGCCUACCAAGGCGACGAUCCAUAGCUGGUCUGAGAGGAUGAUCAGCCACACUGGGACUGAGACACGGCGCAGACUACUACGGGAAGCAGCAGUGGGGAAUAGUGGACAAUGGGCGAAAGCCUGAUCCAGCAAUGCCGCGUGAGUGAUGAAGGCCUUAGGGUUGUAAAGCUCUUUUACCCGGGAUGAUAAUGACAGUACCGGGAGAAUAAGCUCCGGCUAACUCCGUG
rnacentral:rRNA from 1 species